UGCCAGCCGCCGCGGUAAUACAGGGGGUGCGAGCGUUAAUCGAAAUUACUGGGCGUAAAGCGUGCGUAGGUGGAUAUUUAAGUCGGAUGUGAAAGCCCCGGGCUCAACCUGGGAACUGCAUUCGAUACUGGAUGUCUAGAGUAUGGUAGAGGGAAGUGGAAUUUCCGGAGUAGCGGUGAAAUGCGUAGAUAUCGGAAGGAACACCAGUGGCGAAGGCGGCUUCCUGGACCAAUACUGACACUGAGGUACGAAAGCGUGGGGAGCAAACAGGAUUAGAUA
rnacentral:rRNA from 1 species